CAAAGGUUUGGUCCUGGCCUUAUUGUCAACUGUUUCCCAACUUACACAUGCGAGUCUCAGCACACCCGUGAGAACGCCCUUUCAACCUUCACCAGGUAAAGGAGCUGGUAUCAGGCACAGAUUCUUGCCCACAACACCUAGUCUCACCACACCCUCAAGGGUACCCAGCAGUGAUUAACUUUGCGCAUAAGCGACAGCUUGACUCAGUCAGGGAAAAUAGGGCCGGCUAACACGGUGCCAGCCGCCGCGGCUACACCGUGGGCUCAAGUUGACACUCACCGGCGUUAAGCGUGAUUAAAGUUCUCAAAAAUUAGGGUUAAAUUAACACUUAGUAGUUUUAUGCUUGCUGUUAAGAAAUACACAAACGAAAGUUACCCUAUACUUCCUUGAAUACACGACAGCUAGG
rnacentral:rRNA from 1 species